ensembl:snoRNA SNORA73 Small nucleolar RNA SNORA73 family
CUACUGUGGAUAUCCUGGGAAGUUACUCUCCCCAGGCGCUGUCCAUGUGGCAUGCGGGAGCACAGGACUCUGCUCAUAAUAUACAGGAGAGUCACGAAGGCAAAGAAAAUGGGGAACAGAA